rnacentral:lncRNA from 1 species
CGAAGAAAUCGAGGAAGAAGACGAAGAUGAAGAAGAAGAAGAAGAACAGCCAAAGCCAGUUACCGAAGAAUCUCGAAUGCGUUCCGAUAGGGUUAAAAUGGAGAGUUUAUUCCGGCGGCUAUCUUCAGAGCGAGUACCUUUACGAGUCCACGAUGUGAUUAUAAAAGGCAAUACUAAGACUAAGGAAUCACUCAUCGAAGUUGAGGUAGAAGCCCUAAAAAAUGCCACAACUGUUCAGGAGUUGCUUGCCUUUACGAGUCCACGAUGUGAUUAUUAAAGGCAAUACUAAGACUAAGGAAUCACUCAUCGAAGUUGAGGUAGAAGCCCUAAAAAAUGCCACAACUGUUCAGGAGUUACUUAAGGCGGCUAGUAUUGCUAAUGCG